GCUACACUUGUAUGUGAACCGAAGACACUUAGCAGAUACAGCAGGAGUUGUCUCUAAAAAUGGAUCCACCCCAGGAGACAGAAAGGAGUCCUGAUGGGGAACCUGCAAAAAGAAGAGCAAUGUCCAUGUGUAGUGACGCAUCCAUGCAGCAUCUUAUUGUAUUUGCCAAAGAAGCAGCUGACAGUCCCUUUCAUUCGGAAAACACGCCUGCUUUUUCCUGUGCAUCUAUGAAAAGUGAUUCCUCCAUGGAGGCUCAUCAUGAGUGGUCAAGCAAAGACUCUGAUAGAGACCAUCAUGGCUGCCCAGAGUUGACAGAGGUGGAUGGAAACGUCAUAUUCGAGGUGGUUAUGUCUGUCAUAUCUGAAAUCAUAAUAGCUAAAAUGAGCUCUGUAUAUAGCAUAAUAAUGGUUGUAAUGAAUAUUUAUUUAUUGUAAUGACAUAUUUUCUCAGUUG